GAGGGGAGAGGGAGAGGAGGGAGAGAGAGGGGGAGAGAGGAGAGGAGGGAGAGAGAUAGAGAGAGAGAGAAAUACAUUUAACCAAAAUAAAUGGACCACGACCUGAACAAAUCUAGAAGGCUACAAUCAUCCUCCAGUCCUCUAUCUGAAUCAUCUUUUUUCUCCCCUGAAAUCAUGGAGGAUUCAGAGGAUUCCUGAUUUCCUGCCGAUUCAGAAGAUUCCUGAUUCCCUGCCGAUUCCCUCUCGUUUCAGAGGAUUCCUGAUUUCCUGCAGAUUCAGAAGUUUCCUGAUUCCCUGCCCCCUCUCCAUGAUUAACUCUAGUUGAAGGCUGACUGGGGUACUGCAGGCUAGCUCAGUGCUGCCCCCUCUCCAUGAUUAACUCUAGUUGAAGGCUGACUGGGGUACUGCAGGCUAGCUCAGUGCUGCCCCCUCUCGUUGAUUAACUCUAGUUGAAGGCUGACUGGGGUACUGCAGGCUAGCUCAGUGCUGCCCCCUGAGAGGAAUGAAUGGUGUCACGUAGAGGAGGUGAGUGGAGGGGAAGGGAGAGGAGAGGAAUGAAUGGUGUCACGUAGAGGAGGUGAGUGGAGGGGAAGGGAGAGGAGAGGAAUGGUGUCACGUAGAGGAGGUGAGUGGAGGGGAAGGGAGAGGAGAGGAAUGAAUGGUGUCACGUAGAGGAGGUGAGUGGAGGGGAAGGGAGAGGAGAGGAAUGAAUGGUGUCACGUAGAGGAGGUGAGUGGAGGGGAAGGGAGAGGAGAGGAAUGAAUGGUGUCACGUAGAGGAGGUGAGUGGAGGGGAAGGGAGAGGAGAGGAAUGAAUGGUGUCACG